AUUGAACGCUGGCGGCAUGCCUUACACAUGCAAGUCGAACGGUAAAGGGUCUUGGAUUCUUACGAGUGGCCAACGGGUGGGGUAUUCCUUGGAAAGUGGCCAAUAGGGGGGGAUUACUUAUUCGAAGGGGGGCUUAUUACGCAUGAGAUCUAAGGGUGAAAACAGGGGAAUGCCAGAACUUGUUCUACCUGAGCGGGCGAUGGCAGAUUAGGUAGGUGGUGGGAUAAAAGCUUACCAAGCCGACGAUUGUUAGCUGGUCUGAGAGGACGGUCAGCCACACUGGGACUGAGACACGGCCCAGACUCCUACGGGAGGCAGCAGUGGGGAAUUUUGGACAAUGGGCGAAAGCCUGAUCCAGCAAUGCCGCGUGCAGGAUGAAGGCCUUCGGGUUGUAAACUGCUUUUGUACGGAACGAAAAGCCCUGGGUUAAUACCCUGGGGUCAUGACGGUACCGUAAGAAUAAGCACCGGCUAACUACGUGCCAGCAGCCGCCGCCG
rnacentral:rRNA from 1 species